CAAAGGCCCCAAAGGAAGCCACGGCUAACUCUGUGCCAGCAGCCGCGGUAAUACAGAGGUGGCAAGCGUUGUUCGGUAUUAUUGGGCGUAAAGAGCACGUAGGUGGUUCUGUAAGUCAGAUGUGAAAGCCUUCUGUUCAAAGGAAGAACGGCAUCUGAAACUACAGACCUUGAGUGUAGGAGGGGAGAGUGGAACUUCUGGUGGAGCGGUGAAAUGCGUAGAUAUCAGAAGGAACGUCGGCGGCGAAAGCGACUCUCUGGCCUAUUACUGACACUGAGUGUGCGAAAGUUAGGGGAGCAAACGGGAUUAGAUACCCCGGUAGUCCUAACUGUAAG
rnacentral:rRNA from 1 species